AGCUUUAGACGCCUGAGUAAGUCACGUUAAACACCCCCGGACACGGGGCUAAACCAAAUGAAAAUUACUCCAUGUCUUUGGUUGGGGCGACCGCGGGGAACCAAAAAACCCCCACGUGGACUGGAAUUAUGCAAUUCCACAACUAAGAGCCCCCGCUCUAGUUAACAGUAUCACUGACCAAUUAAGAUCCGGCAGAGCCGAUCAACGAACCGAGUUACCCUAGGGAUAACAGCGCAAUCCCCUUUUAGAGCCCAUAUCGACAAGG
rnacentral:rRNA from 1 species